UACGUUCUUAAUGGCCGUGAAGUUAUGCUUCUCUCUCUCUUUCUUCUUUUCUUUCGUCUCUCUGGCUUUUGUUCUUCUUCUCGGUAUUCGGUCUCAUACGAGGAGGCUGUGAUGAUUCUUGGACGAGGGUUUGGCUACAUUGUCGAGUGGGAAAAUGGCUCUUUCAAAACGGCGAGGCAAUCGUGGGUGGUCUUCUGUUGUUCUUGUGAAGGCAACCGUUUGCAGCCGUUUGGAUUUAGUUGCAGUGAUUGCUUAAUCUGAGCCUCCUCUUCCUCUUCCUCUUCUCUGUUUUCUAGUUUCUGGGGUUUUUUCCCCUAAGAUUUUGUUCUUCUAGGGUUUCUUUAAUAUCUUUAAUAUGAUUGGUGUCGCCCCUGAAGAAUUUAUGGCAAACUAGGGUUUCAAGAUCCCAAAUUCUCUUUCGAUUUACUACUCUCGUCUGCUGUUGUGCAGGCAACGAUUUGCAGCCAUUUUGACUCGGUUGCAUCUGACUAUAAAUGCAGUGAUGGAUGAAAUGGUUAAUCUAAGUGCCCUUUCCCUCUUCCCCUUCUUUGCUUUCCUAUCGAUAAAUUUUUUUUUUUCAAGAUUUUGUUUUCUAAGGUUUCCUUUCAGAAACAGAAGUUGUUUACAAGUUUAUUGUCAGUGUUCCUUACUAUUUGAAGAUUUUCUAAGAGCUUGGCUAAU
rnacentral:lncRNA from 1 species